UGGGGAAUAUUGCGCAAUUGGGGAAACCCUGACGCAGCGACGCCGCGUGCGGGCUGAAGGCCUUCGGGUUGUAAACCGCUUUUGAUUGGGAGCAAGCUUUCGGGUGAGUGUACCUUUCGAAUAAGCGCCGGCUAACUACGUGCCAGCAGCCGCGGUAAUACGUAGGGCGCAAGCGUUAUCCGGAAUUAUUGGGCGUAAAGAGCUUGUAGGCGGUUCGUCGCGUCUGGUGUGAAAGCCCAUCGCUUAACGGUGGGUUUGCGCCGGGUAGGGGCUGGCUAGAGUGCAGUAGGGGAGACUGGAAUUCUCGGUGUAACGGUGGAAUGUGUAGAUAUCGGGAAGAACACCAAUGGCGAAGGCAGGUGUCUGGGCUGUUACUGACGCUGAGAAGCGAAAGCGUGGGGAGCGAACAGG
rnacentral:rRNA from 1 species